UACGAAGGGGGCUAGCGUUGCUCGGAAUCACUGGGCGUAAAGGGUGCGUAGGCGGCUUGUUAAGUCAGGGGUGAAAUCCUGGAGCUCAACUCCAGAACUGCCUUUGAUACUGGCGAUCUCGAGUCCGGGAGAGGUGAGUGGAACUGCGAGUGUAGAGGUGAAAUUCGUAGAUAUUCGCAAGAACACCAGUGGCGAAGGCGGCUCACUGGCCCGGUACUGACGCUGAGGUGCGAAAGCGUGGGGAGCAAACAGG
rnacentral:rRNA from 1 species